GACGAACGCUGGCGGUGUGCUUAACACAUGCAAGUCGAACGGUAAGGCCCUUUCGGGGGUCCACGAGUGGCGAACGGGCGAGUAACACGUGAGUAACCUGCCCUCAUCUCUGGGAUAACAGUCGGAAACGGUUGCUAAUACUGGAUAUGAGCUUGCAAGGCAUCUUGUGGGUUGGAAAGAUUUUUUUGGUUGGGGAUGGACUCGCGGCCUAUCAGCUUGUUGGUGAGGUAGUGGCUCACCAAGGCUUCGACGGGUAGCCGGCCUGAGAGGGCGACCGGCCACAUUGGGACUGAGAUACGGCCCAAACUCCUACGGGAGGCAGCAGUGGGGAAUAUUGCACAAUGGACGGAAGUCUGAUGCAGCAACGCCGCGUGCGGGAUGACGGCCUUCGGGUUGUAAACCGCUUUCAAUUGUGACGAAGCUUUUUGUGACGGUAGCAGGAGAAGAAGCACCGGCUAACUACGUG
rnacentral:rRNA from 1 species